rnacentral:rRNA from 1 species
CAGCAGCCGCGGUAACACGGAGGGUGCGAGCGUUAAUCGGAAUAACUGGGCGUAAAGGGCACGCAGGCGGUGACUUAAGUGAGGUGUGAAAGCCCCGGGCUUAACCUGGGAAUUGCAUUUCAUACUGGGUCGCUAGAGUACUUUAGGGAGGGGUAGAAUUCCACGUGUAGCGGUGAAAUGCGUAGAGAUGUGGAGGAAUACCGAAGGCGAGGGCAGCCCCUUGGGAAUGUACUGACGCUCAUGUGCGAAAGCGUGGGGAGCAAACAGGAUUAGAUACCCCCGUAGUCCCUGUCUCUUAUAC